CAAAGAACUAAAGCAGAUUUUGGGGUGGUUUUGUUUUUAUGUAAACUGGACACACAGAAUACAAUAGUAAAUUUGUUUUCGCAAGUGUUUCUCCCUGAUGUAAACACAGAGGUAAAAGAUUUAUGUUAGAAGUAAAGGACUAAGGGUACAUGCAGAGUUGUUAAAAGUCCUGUGGUUGUACUGACUCAGUGUUGGAAGGAAAGCAUCUGCUUUAUCAGAGAAUAAAGACUUGUGGUCUUGCAUUGGAAAGAUGUUUUGGAGACACUGUUUUCCUGGAUAAAAGUCACUCUACUAUGUAAAAUAAUGAACAAGUUGGGAUCCUAAUUAUUUUGUGUGCCGUACUGGGUACAGUCCCUGCCUCUUUUUCUAGUCAGGUGGUGGAGUAGGGUAGGGGGAUGGAGGAAGUCAGAGAAGUAGGAAGACAAGCCUUCUCUAGUCAGCCCCCAACCAAAGACUGGAAAGAAGAGAAACGAUUGUCUGCCAUCAGAAGUUCAGUUUGUAUGUAUUCUGUGCACAUGCACCAACACACACAGAGUAAAUCUUUAAUCAGCUAUAUACUGGUGUUUAAAACAGAGAACGAUUGUCUUCCAAGUUUAUGGUUCUUUUUUUAAAAACUGUGUUAAGUACUUGAAAUGUGUUGACUGCUGACUAUCUUUCAAAAACAAAAACAAAACCGUUUGAGUUGUAUUACAGAGGUUGACAUUGUGCAGGGAUGGGACAAAGCUUUCUUCAAUCCUUUUUAUACCACUUCAUGAUUUUGGUACAGGAACUUAAGAUGUUCUUGUUUAUUCCAUGAGAUUUCACUUCUACUCUUCACAGUAUGAGCAUGAAGCCCAGUGGCACCAAGUGGCUGAAUACAAUUGAAUGAUAUUUUGCUUGGGCCUUGGGAGUUUUCAGAUGAUGAUUUCAUUGAGCUUCAUUGUAGCCUGAAAUAAAGAAGUUGUGUGAUAUAUGCUAACCAGUCAAGUUGCUUUUUGACCAGAAAUUUAGAUAUGUUCUAUUUUUUGGCUCAUUUCUUUGUGCUCUAUGGGUACAUACAAAAAUCCUGAAUUCUGUUCUUAAGCAAAUAUUGCAACUCAGGGCUAAAGUCAUCCAGUGAAACUUUUAGAGCCAGAAGUAACUUUGUCCCAAUCCUACAAUGUGAAAAGAAUGAAUAGUUGCCUCUUUUUAGCCAUUUUCAUGGCUGGUACAUAUCCGUACACAUUACUUUUCAGAAUCAAUACGCACUUUCAGAUAUUCUUAUUUUUAUUCUCUUAAGUCUUUAUUAACUUUGGAGAAAUGAUGCAUCUUUUUAUUUUAAAUGAAGUAGAUCAACAUGGUGGAACAAAAUGAUAUAGAACAGAAAACAUUUCAAUAUAUUACUAAUAAUUUUUUUCCAAUAUAAAACCUAAAAUUCCUAUAACAUUAUAGUAUUUUACAGUUUUAUGAAGCUUUCUAUUGUGACUUUUAUGGAAUUAAGAGAUGAAGAAGAUGAGAUAUUUUAGCAUUUAUAUUUUUCAAAAUUAAAUGUAUACUUAAAAUAAAGUAACUUUAUGCAUUAUG
rnacentral:lncRNA from 1 species